rfam:Roseivirga spongicola strain TST030701-084 contig_1, whole genome shotgun sequence.
GCCACAAUUAAGGGGUGCCCUUUUCCGAAUAAUCGGAAUGAAAUACGGGCUGAGAUUAUACCCAUUGAACCUGAUGCAGGUAAUGCUGUCGCAGGGAUAUGGUGGUCUAACGUU